UAACAAAAAAGGAAGAAAAAAAAAAGUACUACCGCCACAAAUUCACACCUCUUUUUCCUCGCUGCUCUUGUUCUCUUGUUACCUUUUAGCUACUUCUGCUCUUCGUUU
rnacentral:ribozyme from 14 species